rnacentral:lncRNA from 1 species
GAGAACUGCAACAUUGCCUGUUGUCCUGCAGGCAGUAGUCCCGCAGCAAGCCAGCAUGCUUUCCUGGGGACAUGAUACCUGAGCUGGGCGUUUAAGGAUGCACUGGAGUUGUCCAGGUGGUGAAUAAGAGAAUGCACUCCAGGCAGAAGGAAGAGCAGGUGCAAAGGCUUAGAGACACGAAAGAGGGUGUUGUAUUUAAGGAAUGCCGGAAAGCAAUGAAGAUUCUAGAGGCACCUGCAUUCCUUGGCUUGUGGCCUCUUCCUCCAUCUCAAAGUGCAUCGCUCCAAUUUCUGCUUCUGUCAUCACAUCGCCUUUUCCUCCAGCUCCGACUCCUCCUGCAUCCAUCUGAAAAGGAUAAUCCAGGAUAUUCUCCCUAUCUCAAGAUCCUUCAUCACAUCUGCAAAGUCUCAGGUAUGGGUGGGGCUGAGGAUAUAAUCAGUUCUGGGCAAAAUUCCUCUGGAUGUGCAGAUUUGUGAAACUAGAAAACAAGCUUUCUGCUCCCAAAAUACAGUGGUGGGACAGCAUAAGACAACAGUUAUAGACAUUUCCAUUCAAAUAGGGAGAAAAUGGAAGGAAAAAAGGAGUCACCAGUCCCAAGCAAUUUCAAAAUCCAAUCAGACAAACUCCAUCAGGUUUCAAGGCCUGGGAAAAAUCCUCUGCCCUCUGUAUGCAAAACAGCAACAACAGCAGCAACUUUGGACCUUACCUCACACCAUCUAUAAAAAUGAACUCAAAUGAAUUAUAGUCCCCUAAAGAAGCAUUAUGCUAAGUGGAAAAGCCAGACACAAAAGCACACAUCAUAUAGGAUUCAGUACAUAUGAAAUUCUAGGAAAUACACAGCUAUCAUGACAGAAGGCAGAUCAGUGACGGCCAGUGGCCAGGCUGCUACCAAAGGGGCCACGCAGGACGUCCUCUGGGGAAUGCUGGCUCCCACACCACCCGCCUCGGCUCCUGGGCCAAGGUUUUGCCUUGAUCUGUCCAUCCCACUGCACAUGGCUUCAAGGAGGCAUUCAUGGGAAUCCCUGCUCAGGUCAGGCAGCAUCGUGUCAAGGUCAUGGCCCCUUGAAGAUUCUUUGAGGAAGUGGCUGUUGAGCUCCCAACCCCAGGGCUGGAGCAGGAGGAUCAGACACCCCGGCCUCAGCCCCAGAGCAUGAAAGCCCUCCCCACUCACCCAGCUGCUCUGCAGACCCACACUUGCACACAACUCCAUGUGCCACUGACCAGCUCUGACCUCGUCCUGGGCAAGGCUGGCGGGGCCUAGACCCAAACCCACAACAGUGUGUGGCUCCCAGGGAGGCAGCGUUUCCUGGGCACCAGCUCUUUAGAGAAUGCCUUCAGAAGUCCCCAUCCAGCCUCUCCCCUCAUGAAAUCCUGUCCUUGAAUCAUCCAGCCUAGCCCCCUGAGUAGCUGUGCAUUUCCGAGACCCCGAAUCCAUAAUAUUCAUAUGAAUGAGGUGGAGGGCAGGGAGAAUCGCUGCCAUUUAUUCAACCCUUAAUAAAUGCUGGGGGCUGCACAAAGCACUUUAAAUAAAUACAGCCUCUCAUUUUAAUCCUAAA